GCAGAGAACGCUGAAGGAGAUUCCAGGGAGAGACAACAGCACCUACAAAGAGGAAGCAGGAAGGAUAGAAGAAACUGAAGAAGGUAAGUGACUAGGCACAGAGAACAAUGGAGAACGUGGGACAAAAUGAGAACAAACAUACAGAUGGGAUCAGUCUUGUAAGUCAUGGUAAAGAUUUAUAUCUUUAUCCUAAGAAAAAUGGGAAGUUAUAUGGAGAAUGAAGGGCAAGUCUCAAAGAUAUUUCAAACUAAACUCAUAACCUUCUCCUCCAAAUAUGACCUUUUCAGUGUUUCCUGUCACUGCAUGGCACCAUCAUCCAUCCAAUUAUAGAAGCAAAAAACCAGUCUAGGACAUCUCUGUAGUAAUCAAUCAGCCCACUCUCAUCAUCCAUACUUAAUCCACAAUCAAGUCCUAUUGCUCUUAUCAGCUAUGACUAGUUUCAAGUUGUUAUCCUAUUCACAGAGAGCACAACAGCCUUGUCACAGAUUUCCCAUAUCCAUUCUUGCCCACCAAGUAGUUAUCCAUCCUGAAGUCACUGAUCUUUUAAAAACACAAAUCUGAUCAUGUCACCUUGUUGCAGAAAAUCCUUCAUUGGCUUUCAAUUGUUCCUAGUAUAACAAAUCUCAUCUCUCCAGUAUCUUCUCCACACUCUUUUCCUCCUGCAGUAUAUUCUAGGACUUCCUUUGGUUCCUCAAUAAUAUUAUUCCUUUUGCUUUAUAGGGUUGGCAUACAGUGUUAAAGCAAGAGGAACAAUGAUACUUAGGAACUGAAGGAAAGCCAGGGAGGCUAGAACAGCCUUGAGGAAGGAUGAGAAGGGUGUGGAAAAGAUGCUGGAGAGGGAAAAUUUUCGUUUUUAUACUAAGAACAAUGGAAACAUAAAAAUGAAAGGAUCAAAAUCGCUGAACACUAAAUUGGGAAAUAAAUGAGAAGCAAAUUUGAAAGCCAAUCAAACACUGAUAUCAGGCUGUUGUCCACACUAAACAUCUGAAAAUGUGCCAUAAAUUGGCAAUGUUUUCAUAGUACUUUAUUUAAGAACAUAGAAUAAAUAGACAAACUACUGAAUAAAGAAAAUAUAAAGUGUGUGCAGAAAGAGUUAACAUAGUAGCCCUGACUGCUAUCCUUUAAAAGGUGUGCAAACAAGAUUGGCUCUUGCCUGGCUUCUGGGAGCUUAGAUUUCGGGAGGGUUUUCACCAUUCCUAGAACUGAUGAGUGGCUCACUUUGCCUAAAAUGUUUGUACAAACAAUACAGCUUAUACUGAAUACCUGCUUUCCUUCUGAGAAUCUGAACUUUUGAAACAUGACAGCAGGCAGAAGCUGCCUACAUGACCAGCCCCCAAUAAAAGCCUUGGUUAUUUCUAAGCUUCUCUGGUUGGCAACAUCCCAAAUGUGCUGUCACAACACAUGGCUGAGGAAAUUAAGAGCACCUUGGGUUGACUCCACUGAAAGAAGACUCUAGAAUCUUGUACCUGGUCUCCCUUCAACUCAGCCCCAUGCAUCUUUUCCCUUUCCUGAUUCUGCUUGGUAUCUUUUUGCUAUAAUAUAGUCAUGAGUACAAUUAUAUGCUGAAUCUUGUGAGUACUCCUAAUGAAAACUAUCAAACCUGGUGAAGGAGCCGGGGGUGGAGGCGGGGAGGCGGGCAGGCGAGGUUUGAGAACAAUGACACAAAGUGAAAUUAUAUAUAGACUUAUUUAAAGGCUUAUUUUACUAUAAAAUUAAAAGUGCAUUCUUCUAAUUUUUAAUAAAGUAUAAAACAGAAAAAAGCAUAUACUAUAUGAUAAUACUAGCAUUUACUCAAUAGUAAUAAGAAAUUCAGAUUUUUAGAAGUCUGACUUAGUUAUACAUUAACAUACACCUAGCAAUCACAUUAAAAUACACAAGGCUUUCCUAAUAGAAGUUUUCUUAUAAAACAAAAGUGCUUUUCCUUAGAUAAUAGCCAUUAUGUUCAAUUUCAGUACUACAUAAUAACAUACCAUUAAUGUAUACACCAUAAAUAAAAAACUUAGAAGUUCUCAAGUAGAAAAUGGUAAAAUAUCACUUGCAGUUUAACAUAAAUAUGUACUAAGUUAUUAUUAAUUAAUAACAAUCUUAGGGCAUAGUUGCUUCUUUAAAAAUGUUUAAACAUCAGAACAAUUCAUUCCUAUUAAGUAGGUUUUGCUUUUUGCUUUCAAACUUCUUGGCAUUUGCGAUUUCUCAUUUGCGACUGUGAAAGUGGCACUGGCCCCUAUUACAAACCUGCAUUUAAAAGCUGAUUUAGAGGAAGCAAGUUGAUUAUGAAAUUGGGCCUCUUUCAAGGUUUUGAAUUAAUAAACACUUCCUUAUUCAGUGGAGCAUUUUUGGCUUUAUGGUAAAAUGAGCAGAACAUUUCAUGGAAUUUUAAAUAUACUGCCAAAUGUCACUUCGAGAACAUAAAUAGCACUGCUGCAGAUACAUUCAGAAGUACAUCAAAUAGUAAUGGGAGAAGAUAUUUAACUACAAAAAAGCAAAUUCAAUUUAGUGACUUAGUGACAGCUUAUUGAGCUGCCAUGUGAUCAUUUCUGGUUAUGUCUGCUUUUAUGAAUA
rnacentral:lncRNA from 1 species